UGUCGUCAGCUCGUGUCGUGAGAUGUUGGGUUAACGUCCGUAACGAGCGCAACCCUUGUCCUUAGUUACCAGCACGUUAUGGUGGGCACUCUAAGGAGACUGCCGGUGACAAACCGGAGGAAGGUGGGGAUGACGUCAAGUCAUCAUGGCCCUUACGGCCUGGGCUACACACGUGCUACAAUGGUCGGUACAAAGGGUUGCCAAGCCGCGAGGUGGAGCUAAUCCCAUAAAACCGAUCGUAGUCCGGAUCGCAGUCUGCAACUCGACUGCGUGAAGUCGGAAUCGCUAGUAAUCGUGAAUCAGAAUGUCACGGUGAAUACGUUCCCGGGCCUU
rnacentral:rRNA from 1 species